UCAUGGCAACAAUUAUUUACACGCACAUCUUCUACUUCUUCAUCCUCAAAUACAAAUGUCAUUAGUAGGCCAAAUUCAAAGCCCCAAGCAGAAGUUCAAAGCCCACAGUUACAUGGGCAAUCAUCAUCACUGCAAGCAUUUGAUAAUCCAGUCAAUUUUGGGCUGCCAUCACCAUUUACUCUCUCUACAUAUCUGAAUAUAUCCAGUAGCAGUAGUUUAGGCUUCUCACCUCCCAUUGAACCCAUUUUUCCGUGUGUUGUUGAAGGGCCCCAUGACUUAAUGCCCG
rnacentral:misc_RNA from 1 species